UGAAAGAGGCGAUGAUGAUUUUUGUCGAAUUUUAAUUCCCUUUUGAGCUGAUCAGUCGGGUAUUUGAGAUUAUUCGACCCGUGUCUGGCGGGGCAUGCUCCCAGUAUCUGGUGGUUUUCGCAGCCAUGGCGUCGUUGGACGCUCUUGUUGCCCGACCUUAAUACAGAUCUGAGCCUCACUUUAAACUAUUUCUGAUAGUACAAGGGUAUAUUUGACCCUUUUCUGUUUUUAAUCUUAGGGCUCUUUUGGUAUGAAGGAAAAUGUUUUCAUGGCAAAUAAGUGGGGUGGUGGAAAGGGUGGGGGUGAGUAUAAUGGUGGCUUGAAAGAGGCGAUGAUGAUUUUGUUAGUUUUAAAUCCCUUCUGAGCUAAUUAUUCGGGUAUUUGAGAGAAUCUGACCCGCAUCUUGGCAGCGCACGCCCCGGUUUUUCUGGUGGGUUUUGCAGUCAUGGCGUGGUUGGACUUUAUUUGCCCGAGCUUAACACAGAUCUGAGCCUUGCUUUCUCUAUGUCAGUUUGGAAAGUAUUUUAUAUUUAGUAGGCGUUUGGACAUGCGAUUUGAAACCAUAGUUUGAAAUCAUCGUUUGGAGAUGCGAUUUCAUCUCAUGGUUUCAAACCAUGGGAUGAAAUCCCAAAUCAUCCAAAAAGGCAUGAUUUGGGGUUUCAAACCAUGGUUUCAAACGACAUCUUAGGGUUUGUUUGGUUAAAGACUGGUAAGUGUAAUGCAGACGGUGGUGAGUAUAAUUGACGGCUUGAAAGAGACGAGGAUGAUUAUGUCAACUUUUCAUCCCCUUUAAAAUGGUUAAUCAGGAAAUUUGAGGUUAUCCAACCCGUAUCUUGGCGGGGCAUGCUCCAGAAUUUAUGGUGGUUUUUGCAGCCAUGGCGUGGUUGGACUAUCUUUUCGCUUGAGCUUAAACACAGAUCUGAGCCUCACUUUCUCUGCCAGCUUAUGGGAACAAAAGGUUAGGGAAAUGAACAAAGCAAAAAGCUCAGAAGGGAAAGAAUGAGGCUACAGAGAAAUGAGGAUUUUCAUUGAAAGGGUGGUUGCCUCUCUCUGCAUUUAGCCAAUGAUUUCUCCAUUACUGUAAGAAUCCCAACAGCCCUUUUAUCAAUUUUAAAGCUGGGAAUAUUAUUACUAAUAGCUCGUUUGGCAUUUGAAGUGCAAAAAUUAAAGACAAUCCCAUUUGCAAUUUCUUCAUUGUCGUUAGUUGUUACAUAUCGUUCAAAGGGUUUCUAUGCCCUUCAACUCUUCUUUUUUCUCCUCUUUUUAAUGCUUCUGCAGGAGCAUUCAAUGUUGCCGGUGGAAAUGGCGGCGGUGAGUAUAAUCGGUGGCUUGAAAGAGGCGAUGAUGAUUUUUGUCAAUUUUUAAUUCCCUUCUGAGCUGAUUAAUCGGGCAUUUGAGAUAAUCCGACCCGUAUCUUGGCGGGGCAUGCUCCCAGACUUUCUGGUGGUUUUUGCAACCAUGGCGUCGUUGGACUCUCUUUUUGCCCGUGUUAUACGCAGAUCUGAGCCUCAUUUUCUCUUUUCAUUUUGGGAAAUAGUUCAUUUUUAGAGUUCAUUUGGUUUGGAGCCUGUUUGGAUUGGCUUAUUUUAGGUGCUUUUAAGCUAAAAUAGCUUUUAAGCGCUUAGAGACACGUUAUGCAGGUGCUACUGAGUAUAGUUGAGGGCUUAUGAUUUUGUCUAUCUUUCAGACUGAGCUUAUUAAUCGGGUAUUUGAGAUGAUCCAACCCGUUUCUUGGCGGGGCAUGCCGUCAGAUUUUCUGGUGGUUUUUGCAGUCAUAGCUGCAUUUGACUCUCUUGUUGCCUGAGCUUAAUACAUCUGAGCCUCACUUUAAACUAUUUCUGAUAGUACAGGGGUAUAUUUGACCCUUUUCCAUUUUGUCAAUCUUUCCGUCUAAGCUUAUUAAACAGGUAUAUGAGAUUAUCCGACCCGUAUCUUGGCGGGGCAUGCUCCCAGAUUUUCUGGUUGUUUUUGCAGCCAUUGUAUUGUUGGAGUCUCUUGUUGCCCGAGCUUAACACAGAUCUGAGCCUCACUUUCUCUGUCAGUUUAGGGAAAUGAACAAACUAAAAACUCAGAAGUUAAAGAAUGAGGCUUCAGAAAAAUGAGGAUUUUCAUUUCUCUGGUCUACGAAAUCACAGAUUCUGGGUUCAAUCCCAGCAGAGUCGAUCAAUUGUCUGUCCUUGUCAAAAAAGAAAUGAGGAUUUUCAUUUCUCCAUUACUGUAAAAAUCCCAACAACCCUUUUGUCAUUUUAUUGGAGGGAGUUUUAUUAUUAACAGCUCGUUUGGCAUUUGAAGGGCAAAAAUUAAAGACCAUACCAUUUGAAGGGCAAAAAUUAAAGACCAUACCAUUUGGAGGGCAAUUCUUCAUUGUUGUUACAUAUCUUUCAAAUCUAUGCCCUUCAACUCUUCUUUUUUCUCCUCUUUUUAAUGCUUCUGCAGGAGCAUUCAAUGUUGCCGGUGGAAAUGGUGGAAAUGGCGGCGGUGAGUAUAAUCGGUGGCUUGAAAGAGGUGAUGAUGAUUUUGUCAAUUUUAACUUCCUUCAGAGCUGAUUAAUCAGCAUUUGAGAUGAUCCGACCCGUAUCUUGGCGGGGCAUGCUCCCAGACUUUCUGGUAGUUUUUGCAGCCAUGGUGUCGCCGGACUCUCUUUUUGCAGCUUCACUUUCUCUGUCAGUUCAGGGAAACAAAAGGUUAGGGAAAUGGAUAAAGCAAAAAUUCAGAAGCGAAAGAAUGAGGCUACAGAGAGUUGAGGAUUUUUCAUUGAAAGGGGGGUUGCUUCUCUCUGCAUCAGCCAGUGAUUUCUCCAUUACUAGAGUAACAAAAAUGGCAUGGUCUUGAGUUUGGAGACAUAAAAACAGUCAAACUCGAGACCACGCCAUACUAGAAACGAGGAUGUUGGCAAAAACUGUUGAUGGUGAGGGUGGACAGAAAAGCAAUCCUUCUAUUCAUCACUAGUUAUCAUACGUGGCAUUACAAAUGGCAGUCUUGAUGGCGAUGAUAUCAAGAUUCCUUGGUCGAAGGAAUUCUGCAUUCUUGAAGACAAAAUUACAGGUUAAAGAGAGAAUACGCGAGAAGCAUUAUUCUUUGUUGCUGUUGAGUUGCUCAAUUAGUGAAGCAUUUUGAUUAUCAUGUCAGCACCAUCUUCUCUUUCGCGCUUUCCAUUGGCAAGAUAAGUUGCUCUUCGGAUAUUCUCCAUUGAUGACUACAUUUCAAGUAAUAACCAAAGCUAUCAAUUUUAACGGUA